AGAGAGGAGAGAGAAAGAAAAAAAAAAAAAAAGCAGCAGCAGCAAUGGCUAAUGCUCUUAUAAUAUGGAGCCUAAUGUACGCUACUCUCUGUUUGACAGUUUAAGCAACAUAAAGUGACAGAGAUCUUGAAACGUGAGAAUAAGGCAGAACAAGAGACUGUUUGUAAGAGGAAUAAUUUCACACACCCGUGGGGCUUCACAUAAAACUAAUUUGCACAUAGACAGGGCUCUCUUAUGGAUGAUGGAUAAAUGUAAUUCCUAGUUACUAGUGUAUUUCUUCUUUUACUAAUAAGACAAAAGAAUGAAACCCAGGCUAAAAUCACUUUGAAAAUUAGAGCAAUUUCUAAAUGAAUUGGAUUGCUAAAUAACUAGACAGUGACUUUUUGGACAGCUCCCUCAGGUCACUAAUACAGAUCCUCUUUACCAGUUACUCCUGUGAUAUUCAAUAUUCUUUAACAAUAUUGCUCAAUGAAGGAAAAGAAAUAAACAAAAAAGUGAAAAUGGGCUAUGAGUUUUAAUCAAUACGUGAAAGCCUUCAAUUAAGUUUUACAUGAGAGAAAACAUAUAUGGACUUUAAUCUUUCAAGCAAAAUCUUCCUGAAAAAGAGAGAUGUGGGGAACAAUUUUAAAGAAAAAAAAAAAAUCAAAGCUGAUUACAAAUGUACGAGUGCCAUCUGGUGUUAGAAAUAAAAACAAUCACAGCCUUUAUCAGGGUUCACCUCAGUACAAUGUGGUUAUGAGGUACUCAAAUGGUAAUUCUUGAACUGGAAUUCACUUUGUGUCUAAUACUCAAAUGCAACUAGUUAUCAUUUGGUUUAAAACUCAAUGAAUCUAGGGAAGUAAGGUUGGUAGAAGCAGUGUUUGCCAGUACUCAUAUCUUCCAAUAUUCCAGGGAAAAAUGCAGUAACUCAAGAAUUUAUAUAUUUGCCACAAUUUUAUACUCUAACAUACUUAAAUGUCCUCUGAUAUGUGAAAAGUGUAUCUAUACUUUCAGAAGCAAUGCAUCUAUAGAGAUACAGGAAAAACAGAUGGGUAGCAUAUUUUUAAGGAAGAGAUUUUAAGGCUUAUAAUGCUAAUGUGCUAAGAUAAAUUUAGCAAUAUAUCUUUUUUAA
rnacentral:lncRNA from 1 species